AUAGCCGAGCGCAGGCCUUCUCAGAUUGGACUUCAUAGGAGGGAGCUAGCUGAUCAAAUAAAUAAUAGACAAAAAGGCAGAGGGAUAGUGAUGGUGCGCCUUUUCUCUGACGCAGCGUGGCGCACCUCUGAGGAACCUCUGAAUCCCUUCCAUUCUCCGCACACAGGGAGAGAGGAGCGAUAGAUUAAAACUGCAUGGCAGACGCCGCUAAAAAUGAAUAGGGCUAAAAAUACUCCCCUUUUCAGGCAGACAUGAAAGGAAACUGCCUUUCCUCUCUGUCCGGUAUUGAGCAGCCAUUGAUUCCCGGAGACAAAAGGCUACACCUCCUCAAAGAGGAGGCAACGGCAGGCGUCGGGAGCUGCAGGCGUGCCGCCGAACGAGGGCUCGUUCGUCUUCGGCUUUCAUCUGGUUAGCAUGACACGGCGCCCCAUGCAGUGUAAGGCAGAGCCGGCCGGGCCUGGGGAGCGCACAAAAAGCAGGAGAGGGAGUGGAAUGAAUAUUGAUUCCAUAUUCAUGUGGAUGGAGCCAACAACAAGGCUCGGGAAGACCAGUGGAUGGACAGCCAGUGGCCAUAGACAAGCAUCAGCGGGGGCACCGUGGACCGGCAGUGGGGAUCUAUGGUUGCUCCCUCUCCAGGCACCCACUUCACACUGAGGCCUGUUCGUUUUGAUGUGAGGCACUGGAAGGAACGAGGCGGGGGGGGUUGUCCACUGCUGAGCUCAACCCACUCCACAAUGCUGAACCACUCUUCUGUACUGAAUUGCAAUCUUGGCUGGCAAGGCUUCAAACGGGAGGGCUGAAAAGUCGAGCGACAGAAGGAGAACGCGGGCCAAAGCGAAGAUGGACUAAGUGGAGGGAAAUAAAGAGGCCUCGCACCAGGGUGGAACCAAGGCCGGCCGGACAUAAUCACAAACAAAAGUCGAAGAGCGGACAAUGUCCAAGGUUCGAUGAGCCGCAACAUGUUCAUCUGACCAUUUGGAAUGAAAAAUCAGAAUGUGUCAAGUCACUGUUGGUCCCGCAGGCAUUUGUGGUGCGCACCACGAUGUACCAUAUGCACGGCAAGGUUCCAAGCCUCCAGUUCUCGCUUGUUUCAAGCUACUAGGACGCCAUCUGCAGGAAAAAUAACCUGAAUGUGUGAAAUCGUUUGGUGCGGGUGCUUCUCAAGGUGGAAAUGACAUUCGGUUCGGACUUUAUAAAGACGAAGGGAAAGCCCCUCGAGCCAACUCUGUGGUGACCUGGCUGUUAUGUUCAAUGAACCGACACAACUUGUUCUAAUAACACAUUUACCAGUGAGCCGCUACGACAAAAGGGGAUGGACGGUUUCGACAUUCUCCGAGACGAUUUCACCAUGCAACAAAGAAGGGGCGAAGGUUCAAGCUCCGUUUCUUUUUCUCCCUGUGUCCCACCUCGGCGCCCAGCGAGUGAGACGCCGUGUCUGCUGCUCUUCUUUCAUGAAAGCUUGAUCACAGGGAUCGAGAAGCUGUCUAGCCGUUGCAACAGUGACAUCAACAUCCUCAAUCCUAGUUUGUAGUAUAUGCCUAUACUAUUAUUAUUCUACUAUUGGCUAACUUUUGUGUUUUCGUGACCUCGAUUUUGCCGCAUCUGCACCAUACAGAGGCAAACUGACAAUAAAGGUGUUGUAUUCUA